UACGUAGGGUGCGAGCGUUAAUCGGAAUUACUGGGCGUAAAGCGCACGUAGGCGGCUUGGUAAGUUAGAGGUGAAAGCCUGGAGCUCAACUCCAGAAUUGCCUUUAAGACUGCCGAGCUAGCAGGUGAGAGAGGUGAGUGGAAUUCCGAGUGUAGAGGUGAAAUUCGUAGAUAUUCGCAAGAACACCAGUGGCGAAGGCGGCUCACUGGCCCGAUACUGACGCUGAGGUGCGAAAGCGUGGGGAGCAAACAGG
rnacentral:rRNA from 1 species